AUCCAGCUGACGAGUCCCGAAUAGGCGGAAUGCACAUCCUGGAU
rnacentral:hammerhead_ribozyme from 1 species